GCGCCUACCACCUAAAGAAGCACAGUGUGGGAAGUUACCUGCCUCUGAUGAAACCUGCAGGUCAGUCUUUUUAUUCAGCAGCUUCUAAGGAGCUUUGGACAGCCAGUGAUUGGUUUUUUCUGCUGCACCACAUUUUAUUGGCUGUAGGCUGAAGAUUUCGAACUUCUCGAGGCUCAUCAUAUAACCUAAACCUACAACAUAUUGGUGUUGAAAGGUUGAAACAAAGGACCGGAGUUUCAUACCAAUUCUCCAACGCAGAAG